rnacentral:rRNA from 1 species
GAUGAACGCUGGCGGCGUGCCUAAUACAUGCAAGUCGAGCGAACGGACGAGAAGCUUGCUUCCCUGAUGUUAGCGGCGGACGGGUGAGUAACACGUGGAUAACCUACCUAUAAGACUGGGAUAACUUCGGGAAACCGGAGCUAAUACCGGAUAAUAUUUUGAACCGCAUGGUUCAAGAGUGAAAGACGGUCUUGCUUUCACUUAUAGAUGGAUCCGCGCUGCAUUAACUAGUUGGUAAGGUAACGGCUUACCAAGGCAACGAUGCAUAGCCGACCUGAGAGGGUGAUCGGCCACACUGGAACUGAGACACGGUCCAGACUCCUACGGGAGGCAGCAGUAGGGAAUCUUCCGCAAUGAGCGAAGGCCUGACGGGGCAACGCCGCGUGAGUGAUGAAGGUCUUCGGAUCGUAAAACUCUGUUAUUAGGGAAGAACAUAUGUGUAAGUAACUGUGCACAUCUUGACGGUACCUAAUCAGAAAGCCACGGCUAACUACGUG